rnacentral:rRNA from 1 species
GAACGGCAGCACGGGAGCAAUCCUGGUGGCGAGUGGCGAACGGGUGAGUAAUACAUCGGAACGUGCCCAAUCGUGGGGGAUAACGCAGCGAAAGCUGUGCUAAUACCGCAUACGAUCUACGGAUGAAAGCAGGGGACCGCAAGGCCUUGCGCGAAUGGAGCGGCCGAUGGCAGAUUAGGUAGUUGGUGAGGUAAAGGCUCACCAAGCCUUCGAUCUGUAGCUGGUCUGAGAGGACGACCAGCCACACUGGGACUGAGACACGGCCCAGACUCCUACGGGAGGCAGCGGUGGGGAAUUUUGGACAAUGGGCGCAAGCCUGAUCCAGCCAUGCCGCGUGCAGGAUGAAGGCCUUCGGGUUGUAAACUGCUUUUGUACGGAACGAAACGGCUCUUUCUAAUAAAGAGGGCUAAUGACGGUACCGUAAGAAUAAGCACCGGCUAACUACGUG